AAACUAUGUUGUGAGCAACACCUCAACAAAUCCAUGUAAUGCUCCCAUGCCUUAUAAAGUAUCUCGCCAUCUUGUUGAGUGAAUGAGGUAAUAUCAUGGUAAAGCUU